CCUGGCUUGGGCAAAGGAAAGACAAUGCAAACAUCAGACACCUGUUUGCAAAACUUCACUUUGGGAACAUUGGAAGGGAGAACAUCACUGGGACUUUUAUUAGAGCAACGACGAAAUGGAUGAGCUGGAAUGGGAUGAAGCUAAUCCAAGUAAACGUAGUACAGAAGUGGCCGAGCUGAUUGUACCACUAGGAACGAACGAGGCCGUCGAAGAACUAAAGAACCAGCUGUUGGAAAG